rnacentral:misc_RNA from 1 species
CUGAGUUAUCUAACUCCCAAACCAUUGUGAACUUACCACUGUUGCCUCGGCGGCAGGCCCUCUCUUACGAAGGGGCAGCUGCCGGUGGACUACUAAACUCUUGUUAAUUUUUGUCAAUUCUGAAUAAAAAACUUAAUAAGUUA